AUGAUAUUAUACAUAAUUCUAGACAUUGUUUUAGAGUAUGUUAUAAAGUAUAUUUUUCUUCUAGUAAAUGUUGGAAAUGUCUAUGUACUUUUUUCUCCCAAUAUGUUAUGGUCAUUUUCCUGCUAUGCGUAUAAAUUUCAUGGCCAGCUUACCAACUGGUGGUUGGCGAUCCUUUCUAUCUUCUUCCUCGCCGGCUCGAUAAAUCUCUCGGUUUCCUUCUCCUACCACUCUUCCUCCCUUGUGCUCUGUAACUCGGCCAUUGAUGUGGCUGUUAGUAAUAAGAUGGUAAUAUUUGUUUUAUAG
rnacentral:rRNA from 1 species